rnacentral:rRNA from 1 species
UACGUAGGUGGCAAGCGUUGUUCGGAAUUACUGGGCGUAAAGGGCUCGUAGGCGGCCAACUAAGUCAGACGUGAAAUCCCUCGGCUUAACCGGGGAACUGCGUCUGAUACUGGAUGGCUUGAGAUUGGGGAGAGGGAUGCGGAAUUCCAGGUGUAGCGGUGAAAUGCGUAGAUAUCUGGAGGAACACCGGUGGCGAAGGCGGCAUCCUGGACCAACACUGACGCUGAGGAGCGAAAGCCAGGGGAGCAAACGGG